UACGGGAAGUGCGAAGCGUUAUCCGGAUUUAUUGGGUUUAAAGGGAGCGUAGGCGGUCUUAUAAGUCAGUGGUGAAAUCCUAUCGCUUAACGAUAGACGUGCCAUUGAUACUGUAGGACUUGAGUACAGAUGCCGUUGGCGGAAUGUGUCAUGUAGCGGUGAAAUGCAUAGAUAUGACACAGAACACCGAUUGCGAAGGCAGCUGACGAAACUGUAACUGACGCUGAGGCUCGAAAGCGUGGGGGAUCAAACAGG
rnacentral:rRNA from 1 species